rnacentral:rRNA from 1 species
AUGUGACUGCAGGACACAUGAACACCGACAAGUUGAACGCAUAUUGCACAUCGUACAACAGUACGAUGUACACAUUUUUGAGUGCCUAUAUUUAAACAUUUAACUACACGUCGUCCCUGGUCUCUCGCUCUCUCACGCGGGUCCCAGGGCGGGCCUUUUACGUGUGCGUAGUGAUGUUUUCCUGCCUUCACUGUGCGGUAAAACAUUUAAGUAUUGGAAAACACGCGCGCGCCUAGUGUGUGCGUGUGUACUUCUAUGAACAACAUCCCACUUCAUACCGCUGUGUGUGUUGUGUUGUGUUCCAUCGAUUCCGUGUUCCAAUCUCCCAUGUAGGCCUCAAAUAAUGUGUGACUACCCCCUAAAUUUAAACAU